rnacentral:rRNA from 1 species
GACAGAGGGUGCAAACGUUGUUCGGAAUUACUGGGCGUAAAGCGUGCGCAGGCGGCUUUGCAAGACAGAUGUGAAAUCCCCGGGCUUAACCUGGGAACUGCAUUUGUGACUGCAUGGCUGGAGUGCGGCAGAGGGGGAUGGAAUUCCGCGUGUAGCAGUGAAAUGCGUAGAUAUGCGGAGGAACACCGAUGGCGAAGGCAAUCCCCUGGGCCUGCACUGACGCUCAUGCACGAAAGCGUGGGGAGCAAACAGG